CCUACGGGCGGCAGCAGUGGGGAAUAUUGGACAAUGGGGGCAACCCUGAUCCAGCCAUGCCGCGUGUGUGAAGAAGGCCCUCGGGUUGUAAAGCACUUUCAGUGAGGAAGAACGCCUGGUGGUUAAUACCCAUCAGGAAAGACAUCACUCACAGAAGAAGCACCGGCUAACUCCGUGCCAGCAGCCGCGGUAAUACGGAGGGUGCGAGCGUUAAUCGGAAUUACUGGGCGUAAAGCGCGCGUAGGUGGCUUGAUAAGCCGGUUGUGAAAGCCCCGGGCUCAACCUGGGAACGGCAUCCGGAACUGGCAAGCUAGAGUGCAGGAGAGGAAGGUAGAAUUGCCGGUGUAGGGGUGAAAUGCGUAGAGAUCGGGAGGAAUACCAGUGGCGAAGGCGGCCUUCUGGACUGACACUGACACUGAGGUGCGAAAGCGUGGGUAGCAAACAGGAUUAGAUACCCUAGUAGUC
rnacentral:rRNA from 1 species